AGGAGCGUAGCUCAAUAUGGUAGAGUAUUGGUCUCCAAAACCAGUGGUUGUGGGUUCGAGUCCCUCCGCUCCUGCCA
rnacentral:tRNA from 1 species